rnacentral:misc_RNA from 1 species
GAGACUUUGUUUUCUUUUGGGCCAUUCUAACAAAAUCCCAGAAAUAGAGCUCGAGUCUUCUCUUUCGCGCUAUAGUAUAGUCUUUAUUGGAUCUCACUUAUCAAAAUUUAACAGAACUUUUGUCUUUGUUAGCUGUUAUUCUGUCUUCUUUGUUGUUGUUCCUUUCGAAAAUAGGCUAAAUUUUCAUCUGGGUAGUCUUUGAUUUCAGUAUGAAGCCUUUCAGCCUUUCUCUGCUUCUGUCUUGAACACAUUUUUUACGGUGCAAAAAUAUUGACUAAUGCCCAUUUGGGUAUAUGCCAUUUGUGGAAAUGGUUUUUGGGUACUUUGUUUUUGUGCUGCUACUUUGAGGCUUUGAGCUAUCUUCUGAUGUUUUUGUUAUUGGGUUUAUAAGGGUUUUAAAAAUUGAGGCUUGUUUCAUCGAGCUAGGAUGAGUAUGGAGAAGAUUGAGGAGGUAAACAAGGCAGCUGUUGAGAGCUG